CAAUUAAAAUCAUGAUCGUUGGAUCAUGCAUAACGGACGAAAUGUGUAAACACACACGCACGCGUGUGUCCAUGUGUGUUGACGCGUGUCAAAGGCCCCGGGGUGGUUUCGAUCGACGGGUGUCAUAGUCCUGGAAUGACAUUCGACACAAUAGGCGGCCGAUACGAAUUCGAAUAAAUCGUUAUAUAUAUAAGCGGGCGCACGCGAAAUUUAUUUCAUUUACCGUUCUCCACCUGCCUCGGCUGAUUAGAACCGAACAGGUCGCGGGCCCGGGUGGACGCCGAUCGCGUUUCGGGAGAUAAUAAGUUUGAACGCCGCGAUUCCGUAAAAGUAUUCGAGUAUUCGAGGAAAAGUGUUAUAUUAAAAGUUGAAAUUCGAUUUUAAAGUAAUAAUGUUUUCGCCAUGUACGACGCGUACUGAACUUUCGGGAAAGACGAUUACGACCCGUGGAAGAUACGAGCGAUUUUUCGAAUUAAAUUAUAUAAUAAUAAUAAUAAUAAUAAUUUCGAAUUAUAACGACAAUCGGAAUUGUGCAAGCUGCGGCGAGAAGGGGCCCCGUGUGACUCGGAACGCGGAAACAAUUGCAGCGGCGAGAGAACGCGACGAGGCAAGAUGGAGAUCCGCUGCACGUCGCACUCCUGCCGUUACGAACCUUCCUUCGACCCGAGUCUGUGGUAAAUGCCGUAAGAAGGAGAACGUAAGCAACUUCAUCUAAUGACUGAUCUUUGAUGAACUUUCAACGUGGACAUUACUAUUUAUGGUAUCAAAUAGGAAUGAUGAAAUGCUGUUAAAGAAACGGAAUAGGGGAUUGUGCUGAGAUUUUUAUCGAGGGAGAACGGUGGUUACAUAAAAUUUGCCAUUGGUAGACACCUAGUGGGUUAAUCACUUCAUAGGCACUGGGAUUGGAGCAUCUUUCCACCCACUUUCAGCGGCAUACAGGACAACCGAUACAAGAGAUAUGAAUAUUCCCAGCGUUGAAUUGUGCUGCCAUUUGUCAGCAAUUCGAUGGAACAGGGAUUAAAAUUACUGCAGUUAGCUGUGAUGAUAAAUGUGCAAAUUAAGCGCGCAUUUUAUCAAGCUGUACCAGACAGUUUCCGCUCCAGAAUUUUUGGGAUAUCGAAGUUCUAUUGACAGUGAAUAAUGACUGCUGAAUAUUUCUUAUAUUUUUUGCUCGUAAAUCCCUUAAAUAUAAUGCUUGCUCUCCGAACGACGCGUGAUAAUAGGUAAUUUUUGAGGAAAUUAAGUUCACAUUGACCCAUGAAAUGAUUAACCCAUUGAUUACUACGCAAAUGUCUACCAGAUUAUAUUAUAAUAAUAAUAAUUAUUAUUAAUACAUCAACAAUAAUAAUAUAUAUUAUAUAUUAUAUAAAUCCGAUAUAUAUUAUCGAAAUCCGCGCAACAGGAAUCUCACAAUGCCGUGGCAUAGCAUGCAACUUCGGAUCUCUGAUCGUGAAAUUAUAGUCAGGGGCUGGAGAUCCGAUUCUCAAAACAUCGGUAAUUAACUCGCGCUCGAAACACGGAGCAAGAAAAAUAGAAGUCUGGAUGGGCCGUCAGUGGUCGCGGUGCGCCGGUCGUUAAGCGACUCCGAAAAGAUCUCCCAUCGGUAAGUUCGUUAACGAUCGGGAUCGAUGUGACGGAACUUUACCGGAGGAAAAUGAAAAGCAGCUCUGCGCCAUCGCCGGACCGAGACGGGCCUCGGUGAGUCGAUAAAUACGCGCAGAAAAGUCGAGAAAGACACAGAUCGCGAUCUUCGAAGAACGAAAAAGCUCAGCUGUGAGAUCCAUUUGUAGGAUCGUUCGGAAAAUUGUAUCCUUUUUCAUAAAAAUUUAAUUUCGUAAGAGUGUUAAUAAAAUACACUUGAUUCAGUAAUUUUACAAAUGCAAAAGCAAUGAGAUCUCGAAAGCAAUGAGAUGUCGAAAAGUUUGAUUUUAUCGUAAUUAUUACGAAAAUUGUUUUUCAUUUUAUCGCGAAAGAACGAAACAACUUUGCAAACGCUCCCAAUUAUGUACAAUUACUCCGUCGCUCAAUUCCCCGAAUUUACUUUGUCGACGGCGAGCAGCGCUCACUUCGACUUUGGAAUCUUGAAACCCUAGAAUUGGUCGGAGAGAUCGAAUGGAUUUGCAGUAACAACGAUGCACACUUAACGUAAUUGCUCGGCAAAGUUACUGUUGCUAUCUCUCGAGUUGAAAAAUAGUGUGAGCUUUUUCAGAAUUUCUUGGAAACCAGCGCUAGCGACGCUUUAUUCAACUUAGAACACUGGAAAUUCUAGGAUUGGUCGAUGAAAUCGAAUGGACACAUGCAGCAAUAUCGAUGCAAAGUUAAUGUAAUUGCUUGGCAAAGUUACUGUUGCCAUUUCCCGGAAUUCAAAACAGCAUUAGCAUUUUGAAUACUGCUAGGAGAUAAAAGAAAGCAGUGCUUCUUUCGACUUAGAAACGUAAGAAUUCAAGGACCGGUCGUAGAAAUCAGAUCGUGUUGUACCACUGGUGGAUAGUUUGCAUAAUUGCUCGGCAAAGUUACUGUUGUCAUUUCUCGAAUAGCAAGACGGCACCGGCAUUUUGAAUAUUGCUGCGGAGGUAAAGAAAAUAAUAGUCCCUUCGACUUAGAAAUGUUAGAACGAAACAACUUUGCGAAUGUCCCAAGUGUAAUUACUUAUUCCGCCGCUCAAUUCCCCGGAUUUACUUUGUCGACGGCGAGCAGCGCUCACUUCGACUUAGAAAUCUUAGAACUCUAGGAUUGGUCGGGGAGAUCGAAUGGAUGUGCAGUAGCAGCGAUACACAUUCAGCAUAAUUGCUCGCAAAGUUACGGUUGAUAUUUCUCGAGUUGGAAAAUAGUGUGAGCUUUUUCAGAAUUUUUUGGAAACCAGUGCUCGCGACGCUUUAUUCAACUUAGAACACUGGAAAUUCUAGGAUUGGUCGAUGAAAUCGAAUGGAAAAAUGCAGCAGCACUGAUGCAAAGUUAAUGUAAUUGCUUGGCAAAGUUACUGUUGCCAAUUCUCGAAUUGCAAGACAGCAUCGGCAUUUUGAAUACUGCUAGGAGAUAAAAGAAAACAGUGCUUCUUUCGACUUAGAAACGUAAGAAUUCAAGGACCGGUCGUAGAAAUCAACUGAAUUUGCAUCAUUGGUGCAUAGUUUGCAUAAUUGCUCGGCAAAGUUACUGUUGCCAUUUCUCGAAUAGCAAGACGGCACCGGCAUUUUGAAUAUUGCAGCAGAAAUAAAGAAAAUGAGAGUCCCUUCGACUUAGAAAUGUUAGAACGAAACAACUUUGCGAAUGCCCCAAUUGUGAUUACUUAUUCCGCCACUCAAUUCACCGAAUUUACUUUGUCGACGGCGAGCAGCGCUCAAUUCGACUCAGGAAUCUUGAAAAAUUGAGAUUGGUCGGGGAGAUCGAAUGGAUGUGCAGUAGCAGCGAUACACGUUCAGCAUAAUUGCUCGCAAAGUUACGGUUGCUAUUUCUCGAGUUGGUAGAUAGCGUUGAGAAUUGCUUAUAACUUAUAGCUUUUAGCAAUCAAAACAAAGAAAUGAUAGCGUCUUUGAGAAUUGCGCGAAGACAACAAUAAACUGUAGAAUUUGAAAUUCGAAAAAGCGACACGGAUUUGCAGCAACGAUAAGAAUACAAAGCCAGCAUAUAAUCGUUCGACAAAAUUGCCGCUGUUAUUCCUAGUUGUGUGUCUCUGAUGUGUUUGGUAGUCUUGUUACUGGUUUCGCAGCUAUUUUUGGAUCUGGUGUUAUUGCAGCGGACGCUUUUGCUUCGGACCACGUUUUCGGGAUAAUUAAGUGGAGCAUAGACUCGAUGUUACCUCGAUUAUUUGUUCCGAGCCAAGUGACACAAUUGUUCGGAUAAUGGAACAUUUACUUGGUUUGCCUAUUCGUUCAGAUCCAUGAAGCAACUAGUGCUUGCAUCGUUCUGUUUCUCUUUUAUCCCUGUAAUUGCGCGCGGUUCUCCAUAGAAGUCUGAUAAAUCAAAUAUGCAGUUGUUGAAAAUGAUACGCUAAUAACUGCGCCGGGGAUGCCAAUUUUUCAAAGGUUGUCCCAGUUAUCGGACAUUCGGAACUAUUAGUCUGCAUUGCGGUCGAACGUUGGCAAUCGUGUGACAGAACAACGGGCUCCGCUGUCAAAUAAUUGAUCGAUAUCUGCAGAUAUAUAUGUGUAAUAGAAAAACGAAAAUAUGCGUGUUUCCUUUUUCGAGUAUUUUAUGUUCAAAUAUGUGCGUUUCUCUCUUUUUCAUUUUUUUUCUUUCAUUUCAAGUUGGUGCUUUUCUCUUUUUUCUUUUCUACUUUUAUGUUAAAGAUUUUCUCUCUUUUCUUUUCUCGUUUACAGUCAAGUUUCUGUUCUUCUAUUUCUUCUUUUUCCUUUUUGCUUCCUUUCUGCCUUUCUUCUUCUUUUAAAUUUCAAAUUUUUGGAUUAAAUUGUUCUCUGCGUGACUAUUACUACACUAUUACUAACGAAUGAAGUUAUUAUCAUUAUCAUAAUUACUAUUAUAAACGUUAUCAUCGUCGACACUAUUAUUAUUGGUAUCAUAUGCGGGAAAAAGUAAACAAUUUCGUGGUACAGAGAAAGUUCUGCUUUGCAAUUUCGUCAUUGUUACUGUCAUUGUUAUCGUUGUUAUAAUAUGCAGGGAAAAGGAAGAAAAUUUCGUCGGCAGCAAAAGUUGCCGUUUGUUUAUUUCUUCGCAAUUUAGAAACUAAAAGUAAAAGUACGGAAUUAACGACACCGCCGACUUCGAAGUCGCCGUGGCUUUUCAAUGAAAAGAGUGUUCCAAGGACCCGCGAGACGCGCCGGUAUAAUUAAGUGGCUAUCGACGGUCGCCGUUAGAAACGUCUGUUCCUCGGUCGUAUAAUAACUGAUUUACGCCGUGUAACGAUUCACAAGGAUUUAAACACACGCACACCACCACCCUGAGGGAAGUGUCGGCUGAAAGGUGCGCGACAAUCGGAACGCAACAGUCGGUCAAAUAAAUGAGAUUCAGCGAGCAAAAAUCAAUUUCUUCGACAUUUCCGAAACAGUAAAAUCGUUCGUUUAAUAAAGAGAGAUACCGAACUUUUUUUUACAAAUAACUCCUAUUUUGAUAAUCACUGUAUUCUGUUAACCGAUCUAAAAUAUCAGAGCCGUUUGAAUCGAUUAUAUACACCUGUUUGUAGUCUAUUCAGCUUAUUUUAGAAUAAUUUACCGCAGCGAAUUCAGAACAGAAACACGUUAUCUUGCUAUUUCAUAUAUAUAUGUAUAUUUUCACGUUCGUGGUGCUGUGUUUAUAUAACGAUGAUAAAAAUGGAGUUUAUUCGAUAGAAAAUGGAAGCGGAAACAGAAAUAGCGUUGAAUACGAGAACCUGCCGAAAUCAUUUAGUAUCGAUCCUGAAGGAAUUUACUGCCAAAUUAAGAGCAUAUUCGAAUCUUUGUACCAUGAUGGAACUAAGAAAGAAUUUCGUGCGA